AUAAUUUCCCGAUGACUUUGGGAUCAGUACCAAGUGGCAGGAGUCAGGGAGGCACAUCUGCACAGACCACCUUAACGGCGCACAGUGCAGGACAGAGAGGCUCUUCAGCGAGGGAACCCCCAAAGGAUUGCCAUGCCUCAGCAGUGCAUCCCACUGAGAAAACCCCGGAGCCCUGUGAGAGCACAAGCAAAUGAGCGAGUGGUGGUGGCCCCCAUUGACUGCGGCAGGGGAGGAGGAUCAGAGAGGUUGGCGGAGAUGA